GGAGGGGGGCGAGGGUUGGGCCAUGGCGCGCCUCGACCCCACGACGAGAAGCAGCGGGAGGAGGAAGAGGAGGUGAUGGGGAAGGCGAGUCCCGUUCCUGAUCGCCAUGGAGAGCCGCGCGCGAGGUGUUUCUAGAAGAGUGUAGAGGUAAGAGGGAAUAAUAGCUAGCGAAUGUUGGCGCGGUUUAUAACUAUAACUAAUAUAUCGAAGGAAGGGGGGAACGAAGUUGUGGCUUUGGUGCUAAUAUAGUAGGAGCCUACGAGGGAGGGGAAGAGGAGUUUUUUUUUUUCUUUUCUAUGAAAAAAAAAAAAAAAAAAUUGAGGGCAAGUCAAAUAGACAUUUGGUGCGGGGACGACCGGGGAUUAGUAGGUCUGGGUCCGACGCGUGGGGUCGGGGCUCAACACACGUGAGAGUCCCGUUUACGAUUGGCACGUAUGUAUGUAUGAAAUUAAUGAAGGGAGAAUAAAUGAAUGAUAUAUGAUCAGCAUCAUUCCCGUAUAACCCCCUCACCUUCGUGGGAAUUACGCGGUUCGUCCGAACGUGUAAAAGAUGCUUGACGAUAGGUUUUCACCAACUUUGUUUCCUAAUUCAGGGAGCUGGGGUGGAAUGCAAAGUUUCCGUUGGAGAAAGCAACGGUGGCGGAAUUUGGGUUAAAGUCUGACUUUCUGGAUUGUGCAGUUUGGGCAGUCAAGGACGGCAGCUGCUGCUCCUCCUGCGGUCGGGCAUCUAAAGAUUCUAGAGAUGCGGCAGUAAGUCAACAGCAAGAACGUGAGAAGGGAAUCGGUGGGUUCUAGAAAAGCUCCAAACUCGAUCGGAGCCAUCGAGGCUGACGCAACUCGAUCCGCAGAGAGGGUUUUUUUUNUUUUUUUUUUUUUUUUUUUUUUUUUUUUUUUUUUUU
rnacentral:lncRNA from 1 species